rnacentral:lncRNA from 1 species
AUGCUCAUCAAAUUUCUGUUUGUAAAUAGUCGCCCACUCAUUUUCCAUCCUGGAUCAGUUGGUAGUGGUUUUAUGGAGCACUGUGUUGAGAAGGCUUCUGAGGCCUUGUCUGGGCUCAGAAGGAGGAAGUGGGACGGUCAGUCACUGCCGCCUACCAUGGGUCCCCACAGAGGAGAGAGGCAGCACAUAGGCCAGACUGGGGACUUUUCAUUUGAAUUCUCUUCCGAGGAAUCCAGAUUCUUUUUCUGUCUAUGA